UCUCCUUUCACUCAAAAUAAGUAAGGUGUAUGAUGAAAUUUCAAACCUAUGGAGAGUAGUUAUAUUUAGCCAAAACCUCAGGGGAGGUGAAUGAAAAUUAACCCUAUUAAUGAUAUAUGUUAUCAAGAAAAGGUAGAAAUAUUGAUCAGGGACCUCAACAAUUUGCAUUACUAGGAGUUGUGUGUGAAGAGAACCUAACAAGGUUAAGUACCUGAGUGCAUCCAAAAAGUUUAAGCACCCUCAAUGAUAAGCAGCUAUCCACAAUAAAUCCCAGGUCCCCAUCUGUCAAAUUUCGACACCAAGAUAGGUCCAAACGUAUCAACUCUCUUGAGCGUCUGGCAAGUGAUAUGGCUGUAUUGUGGCCAAUCUGUAGAAAGAAAACAUGCCCCAUGAAAAAAGUACGAAGAAGAUCAUUGAGGGACAAAUAGGCCUGGCUACAACAGAAACCCUUCAACAUAAGGCCUAGAACUCAGAUGGCACCCAUGUUACAGGUUAUGUUCACUGCUAAAGAUUUAGCCCCCCAAAGAAGAAGGAACUCAAGCUAGCAUGACAUUGAGUACAUCGUAUUGGGCAGCAGCAUCACAUAAUUGCGGCUAUUGCUCAAAUCCUUUUGUGCAAAUUCAGACAGAAAAUGAUACAGACAAAUAUUGAACUCCUUGGACAAGAAUGGAGCACCCUAAUUCGCACACACACACACAGACAGAGGAGAGAGAGAAGAGAGCUGAAACUGAAUAUAGUUUAGCUAGUAAGGUACCUUGCUAACAUUAUUGAGAGAAAGCUCUUUUAAAGACCCCCCCGAGAUCUCUAGAAAUGCAGCAAUAGCUUCAUCACUGGCAAAACAAAAAUUAUUGAACAAUAAAUCCAUUGCCAAUACUGGUGCAGUGAGCAUCAAUAUUCCAGUAUAGGUUGGACAUGUUUCAACAAAGAAAGGUUAAAAAAAAAAAAGCAAAACUUUAAAUACUUGACAGAUGGUAUCAUAAAGAUGCUUGCCACAUGUAUGAUUGAGGUUGCCACUGAAAAAAUAUUGCCCUCAACAAUAACCAAAACCCACAUAAAGAGUAGCAUGUGUCAUCAGUACCCCUACCAAUAGGCAAAGCCUCCAUGCUAUAAGUUAUUUUCCAACAAGCCUUGUGACUCAUCCAAACAGUGGAAACCAUUUUUCAGUAGUUUCCAGGAAAUAUUCUCAUUUCACAAAGCAUUAGAAAAAUAUAUAGUGUUUCCUUGGCAGAGGUUACUUUCUGGUAAGCAACAAAAUCCCAAGAAUCACAAAUUCAACCAAGUAACCACCAGAUGAUCUACAUUUCAGCAAUUUAGCAAAAAAGUGUUUCAGAUAGCCAAGCCAAUGAAAAAUCUAGCACAUAUAACCAAUGCAAAACCAGCAAUAAAUUGAUUCAGUCAAUAACCCAGACCAAUUUUUUUUUUUUGAUAGGUAAUUUUCUUUUUUCCCUUUUUUCAUUUUUUGUCCCCACUGAAACCUGAACAUGGAACCUCCCACAAACCCAGCCCAACCCUUCACCACUUGAGCAAGGCCUCAAGGGCAUCAAUAACCCAAACCAUGGAUUCACCAAACCUACAUGUGAUCAAAACAAAACAAAACAAAACAAUAACUUGUAUAUUAUUCAUCAAUUCAAUGCCAAGAAGCCAUAUCUAUGAACAAACAAAGAGGAGAAUUAGGUGCUAUAAAAGGAAGGAAGCUCUCAUAAUAUGUCAGCAACAAGUAUUGCAUGGUUAACACGUGGUAAAAACCUGAAUGAAUUGCAGCGGAGUUUUAGUGUUUGCAUUGCUUGACAACCACUUGCAAGAUAACCAAAUGCAGAAUCCGUCAACUUGCACAAGUUACCCAAGUCAAGUGCACGUAAUUCAGGACAUGUCUCAGCAAUAGCUUUCAAAGAAAAAUCAGUCAAUCUCCUGCACCAAAUUAAAGCAGCAGCAGCAGGGCAUGAGCAGUUAUCCGGAACUCAAUUACAUCCAAAAGGAAUAAUACAUGUUAAGGAACUUACGAACAAUCAGUUAAAACAAGCUCCUUCAUAGUGGGGCCAUGUACACUAAUGAAUUCCCAGAUAAAAUCAUCACAAACAGUUUGAAUGCCUGCCACCGACAACACUUCCAAACAUUCUAGUUUCUCCAGAGCCGAUAGAAUAAGCAUAGCAUCUAUGCCUUGGCAAUCAUCAAUAUAUAAUUCUCUCAGAACAGAUCCCAAUGUCUCAGCUAAAUUUUUAAUAGAAGCGGAAGUUAGAAGAGAGCACUGGCUGAGAUUUAUAGAUCUUAACAUGGGGGCAGAAGAAACAAGUGCUCUUAGCCCUGCAUCUGAAAGACGGCAUGCACCUUUUAGGGAUACAGUUGUUAAUGCAGGAAGGCCAUUUGACAACAUAUCAAAGGUAGCCCUUAAAACAUAAUCUGUCAUACACCGCCCACAUUGGUCAAGUUGUAGCACCUAAUUCCACAAAACAAAAUAUAUUCAGAUUAUCCAGAAUGUUAUGACUUACUAAGAGAUAAUAAGAAGCUACAAGUCUAUAUACCAUAAUGGCCUUGGAUGAGAAGAUAAUUCUUAUUACAUCAGGAAGACAUGUUUACAGAACUAAGUUGUCACAUUGCAAAUCAGCCAAUUUCCAUUUUCCAAGAAAGAAUAUCUACACAUACAAGACAAACUACCAAGAAUUAAGGCCAUUAAGGUGUCAAGGAUGAGUUAGGGAAGCUUCCCAUAAUGCAUUGCAAAAAAGUUAAAUUAAGAUAAGUUGACUUGUAGUCUUGUUGGAAGCCACCAAAGAAUUAGCAGAAAAAAAGAGUGCUCCCAUGUAGGAGCUUGGGGGCAAAAAAUCCCUUCAAAGAGGGAUGGCUCCAAAAUAACCCUCCAUGCACUACGCUUUUGGCCAUAUUGACAACCUGGCAGAGGCAGCUCUGCCACAUCGGCCUCCUUUUCCUUUUUUCUUCUGCACUUUUUUAUUUUUUGUGAACCAAAAAAAGUGCAAUUGGGAGGUGUGUUUCUAUUUCACUAAAAACAGAGCUCCCAGCUGUGUUUUAUAUCAUUAAUUCUGUUUUCUAACUGAAAUGGUGAAAAUGCAGCUGGGAGCAAUGUGCUGAGUGGAACCUUAAAAAGGCAGCUCUUAGUUGUGUCUUUGAUGCCUUCUUUUUUUUUUUAUUUAUUAAAAUACAACUGCAAGCUGUAUUUUCAGUGCAAUAAAAAUGCAGCCUACACGAAGGGGUAAGAUAACAAAAAACAAAAAAAAAAACACACAGAUGACCUUUUUAUUCAGCAAUCCCCAUUGGAGAUAUUUAGCUCCUAAGCUCCUACUGACCUAAUGGGGAAAAAAAUUCUCAACAAACAAUAGAUAUAUUGAAUGCAGAAAAAUAAAUACUAAAGUUCACAGAAAGGUGACUCAGUCAUUUGUCUACAUUACAACUUUUACAGCAUCAAACCAGCAUGACACUAAAACCAAUAACAAAUAAGAACUUGAGUCCAUUAAAUGACACAUUCCAGUGAGGCUUGGUGUGGCAAUGAGUCAAAAUGUGAUUCUUUUUUCCUUUCAUAUCUAGGUGUUAAAAUAAGAUGGAGUUACUACCCUGUUUGAAUUCCUGUUCAACAGAAAAUAGUAACAACAUUAUAUCAGACUUCAUCUCAUAAGUAUCAGAUAUGUGCAAAAUUUAAUCUUCAUCAAUCAUAUAGACAAGAAAACAUACUGUCAAGCUGUUGGUGUCACAACGCUUAAAGAUUCUUGCAAACUCUUCCUCUGUUAGCCAUGAACAAUCCCUCACACACACCUCAAAAGGUGAUCCACUGACAAGGAGCUCAAGGAUAUGACUGUUCAUUCUCCGAGAAUCACAGAGCAACUGACUUAGUUUGUGCCUCAGUGCAUCUGGGAUACUUUCAAGAGAGGUGAUUGCAUCACCAUUCUGGGCAAGAACUUCAAGGCACAUUUCUUGCAGUGAGGGGGCCAAUGGUUUUGGGCACUCACUGCUCUUAACCUUUCUAGGACUCCAUAUCACAUGUGCAGGUCUGUUUCUGUCUGAACUGGAAUUCUGCUGUGUGUUCUGCUUCUUUUCUCUGUCCUUAAUAAUCUUCAUAGCAGUUGAAAAGGGACCAGGCCAAUCUUCAUUUUCCUUCUCCCCUCCUUCUGAUGGCCUUUGAAUUUCAGCCUCACGAGAGGGAUGGUUCUCCAUCUCCUGUUCAGGCGCAAAAUGAGCAAAUCGAGAUGCAUUUCGUCUGGCUAUAUCUCGGAACCGGGUCCUUGCUCUUGAUGCAAUCCCUGUCACGCUAGUCUGUAUAACCUCAUUCUGAACCUGUAAUCCUACAUUGCCCUCCAACUGAAUAGACUCUGAAACUGCAGUGUCAACCGAAUUCUUAACUUCAGAUUCCAAAUUAAAAUCCACAGGAUUAACUGCAUUCGGUGCUAAAUCAUCAUUAAUCAAUAUACCCUUCCCUUUUUCUUCUCUGCUGUAUCUCUGUCCACCCUCAACAGCAUCAUUUUCAUCAGCACUCAUAUUGUCAAUAACAUUCUUCAAUUCCAAGUUCAAAUCCAAUUCCACUGCAUCAAUCCUAUUCUGUGGCUCAUCAUCCUCCACCAAUUUGCCCUUCCCCUUUUCUUCUCCAGUGAAUCUCCUCCUUCCCCUAACACUUCCAUUCUCAUUAGCACUUGGGUCUUUCUGUAAUUCUUCCACAGCAGCCUCUCCAUUUCCAUGACCCUGAACCUUUACACCUUUAUCUUCUCCUCCACGUUCUUGCUCAACAACAUACUUACCACCAUCACUCUCAAUGCGAUCGACUCCACACAUUAUUUCCUUGACGAUUUUCUUCCCAGACCGCAAACCCAGAAACCCUUUAUCCUCAUCAUCCAAGGGACUGGCCUCAAAGCUUAAUUUUCUCUUUCCUUUGGACUGUUUCACAGUCACCAUAUCUUCACUCCUCUGAGUCCUCUCCACAAAACUCCCCAAAUCAGAACCCAAACUUACACUUGGCUCUUUCCUUUCUUCUUCUUUACUCCCCAACUCUGUAAUUUCCGAUCCACCCAAACCCCUCUCUGCCAUCUCGACUCCUUCCUUCACUUCCAAAACCUCAUCCUCCUCCCCAACAGAAUCAGAACCCAGAACCCGACCUUUCGCAUUCCCCGAACCAGAUUCACACCUCCCCUCAACCGAGCACACCUGAUUCACUCCGGAACCACCCUUCCUUUUAUGGCGCCCUCCGGACGCCGCGACUUCGCCGGAACCCUCACUGCGACUCAAUCUCGAAGCGAUUCGACGACUCCGCCUGAGAUUGGACGCAGAACCCGAAAGUGAACCGGAAUCGGGCAUAUGGGCACCCAUAUAUGGCUCUUGGACAGAACAAUGAGAAUUGCGAGAAGGCGAAGAAUUGGGAGUUGAGGGCUCAUUGGGCUUGGAGGAAGUGGAAUCAUCCAUGAAGCGUUUCUUUAGGGUUUCAACUGGGACUAUUUCUCGAGACCUCAAAAUCGUCAUCCACGGACCCUAUUAUGAGAAUCGGCGAUUAAAAUACAAUGGUUCCGAAGGGGGUUCGUUUCGUUACUGAGAAAUGCUUCCCUUGGAAGCCGAAUUCUGCGGCUAUUGAGUUUUUCCCGCCAAUGUCCGUUAACGCCUAAGCUGCGGUUUAAGUCGGCGACGUUCCUGAGAGUCUUUUUUCUUGUUUUGUUUUCUAUAUCACUGUAUCCAAACACCCCUCCAUUGUUUUUUAUGGUUUUUUUAAUAAUGAUUAUGAGAAUAAAUUUUAUUAUUUAAGCUUUUAAUUAUUAAAAUUUCCAAAAAUAAAGUGAUUAAAUUUUUUCAAAACGAAAUCUACGGAAUAAGUUGUUUUUUAUUUCUCCAAAAAUAAAAAAUAUUCUUAUAUAUAUAUAAAAAAAACAUAGACUUAUCUUCUAUCUUUAAAAAUUAUUUCUAAAGUUUUUAAAUUUUAUAGUUGUAAAAUCCUUUCAAUAUCUUAAUUUUUUAAAACAUUUUUAUAGCAUAAUUGUCUCUUCUAUUUUAAAUGAUGGUGUACUUCUACCAAAAAUAACAAUAAUAAUUUGUUAUGAUAAUUGACAUAUUAUUUUAAUUUAAUGGUGAUUAAUUAAGUUUAUUUGUAUUUAUUUAUUAUUAUUGUAAAAUGGUGAAAAAAAAAGGUUCUAUCUAUCUAUCAUUAUUAUUAUUAUUUAUACAAACAUCUUGAGGUCAAUUCAUAAGGUGAUAGCUAGAAUUUAUUUUGACCAAAUUCACAAAUUUCUAAAAGUUACCCAUUGAAAAAUGGGCCUAGUUUUCAAAUAAUCAAUUGGGCCUGAGUGAUGUGAUUCAAAUUCUUUAGGAUCCAAUCUAAGCCCAACCCAAAUAGUGCCAUGGGCACUGGACCACUGGUCACAUUGAGCCAAGGUGAUGUACCCUAAUCCUAAGGGCAGUCUAAGAAUAAAAGUACAAGGGCAAUAAUACAGAUACCCCACUUUACAUUAUAUCACCACCACACUAUAUUUGAUGGUUGGUCAUGGCUGAUGCCUAUACAGUAUAUAGGUGGGCAGACAGUUGCAUUUAUGUCCGUCCAAGUUGAUUUAGGCUCAGACCAUAACUCAGCACAUUAUGUGGAUGGUUAGGGUUGUGUCCCACACUGUCAAGACUUUUGUGGGUUUUUGAGUUUCUAGCCCGUUAAAUCUUUUGAAGGCUAGACACCUACCCAAAGCGCCUACAAAAUGCCCAGUUUGUAGCCUCAAAUCUUGUUGAUAUGGCUGUGGGUUAUUGAAUAGAAAAGCUACCGACACUGUGGAUUAUAAUUUUAUACCAUAAAUAUAUAAUUUAUAUAUUAUUAAAAUUUUUAAAAAUUAAAACAUAUUUCAUCAUUUUAUUAAAUUAUUAAUAUUUUUAAUUUUAUUAAAUAUAUAAAUUUUAAUUAUUAAGAUAAAUUAUAAAUAUUUAUAUUCUUAGAAGCAUAGCUUAGAGAUUCACUUUUGAUUUUGUAUACCAAAGAGCUAAGUCAAUAAUUGUGAUUUCGACAGUCCAGUUUGUAGCCUCAAAUCUUGUUGAUAUGGCUGUGGGUUAUUGAAUAGAAAAGCUACCGACACUGUGGAUUAUAAUUUUAUACCAUAAAUAUAUAAUUUAUAUAUUAUUAAAAUUUUUAAAAAUUAAAACAUAUUUCAUCAUUUUAUUAAAUUAUUAAUAUUUUUAAUUUUAUUAAAUAUAUAAAUUUUAAUUAUUAAGAUAAAUUAUAAAUAUUUAUAUUCUUAGAAGCAUAGCUUAGAGAUUCACUUUUGAUUUUGUAUACCAAAGAGCUAAGUCAAUAAUUGUGAUUUCGACAGUCCAAUCAAUCCAAUCGAGGAUCGAUCCGAAACAAUACACUUUUCAUGUAUGAAUGGAGAAGUAGAUUUUUAAAACAGAAAAAUUAAAGACGUGUUUGCUUCCCAAAACUUUGACUGAAGAAAAGGCCAGAAAGGUCACGAGCCAGCACACAUGACCCAACAGCCACCGCCUGUGGGAAUUGACAGGCUGGGAAGCUUUGGCAUACACCAAUGACACAGAAGAGGCUAUCAAUAAUCAUGCAUUCAUGCCUUUAUAAAAGUAGAAGCUUCCUUGGUGCUUACCUCAACUUGUCUACUGCAAAGCAGCUUUCAUUUUUUGUAUUCUACUCUCCUCCCAUCUCCACCGGACCACCACAUCGUACCCAUCUCAAUAAUUAUUGACAAUCCUUAAAUAAAUCACGUAAUCAACUAUUCAUCAUGUUCGACAGGGUCGCAACAUUUUUUGAAUUAGGGUAUGAAAAAUUUGAGCUAUUUUAGAAUGAUUCUCGGAGGGUUAGAGUUACUUUCUACUUGAAAAUGUUUUCUUAUAAAAAUUGAGUUGUUGUUUGAAAAUUAUCUUUGAAAACACUUCUCUGUUUUUUAAGGAUAAAAAACAUUUUUUUUUUUAAUUUAAAAACAAAUUUUUAAGAAUUUUAGAAGUCUUUUUUCUAAUCCUAUCUUUGAUAAUAAUUAAAAGCACGAAAAAUAUAUUUAAAAUUUUUGUAUUGCACAUUAAUUUUAUGUUUGACAAUUAUUUUUAAUAACACAGAGCUAUUUUUAAUAAUAAUUUUCAAUGAUUAUGGGUUUGUUUGAUAAUUGUUUUUUAGAAUAAUUUUAAAUUGUUUAUAAUAAAAAUAUAUAAGAAAAACACAUUUAAUAAUCAAAAAUUAUUUUUUGUUUUUUAUUUUUAAAAAUAUAAAACACUAUAUUUUUAAAUAACUGUUUUCAUAUAUUUUCUAUUGAUUGUUUUAAAAAUUAAUUACAUAAACAUGAAAAAUAAUUAAAAACAAAAAAUUAGACAUAAAAUUUAUUUCUAAAAUACACAUAUUAAAAAUAUUUCAGGUUUUUAAAUAGAUUUAUAGUCUAUAAAACAUCAUAAAAUAUAUUUUUUAUAUUUAAAAAAAUUAUUUAAAAAAAAUAAUUAUCAAACAACUCUUAUAUUUUCAAAUAGAUCCUAAGAAUUACCUUAGAAAAUUUUUGAACUGAUAUUUAGUAAUUACAAAUUCUAGAAUUUAUUAUAUUUUUAUAAUAUGAUAUAUUAAAAAAAUAUUAUCCAAAAUAAGUUUUUGGAUCAUACAAAACAUUUUCGAUAAAAUUGCCAUGAAAAACCAUAGAUUAAUAGUGCUUUUGAAAAAAUUACUCUUCAAGGAAAUCCUAAAUCCAAAUAAUACAUCUUAUUUUAAUAUGACAAAUAUUAAAUUGUAACUUUAAUAUUUGUUUUGUAAACUCUAAGAAUAUUCCGACAACCACCAAUUGCGCAUAAAAAAAUCGUAUAAAGUGAAUCGCAUGCACAAUGGGUCGGUGCUCAUAAUUAUUUUUCUGUUUUUUAAUUUAAAAAUAAAAUAAAAAAAUUCUCGGUUACCCACGGUGUCUUCGCCGCGUAGGAUCUAGUCAAAAAUGGGAAGUUACUGUACUGCCUCUUCUUCCUUAGAAAUUAUUUUAAAUCCACAAGGAAUUUCUUAGCACGUGGGAAUUUUUAUCGGAUGUUAAAAAGUGGGAAAAUGGGAAAAAUAGAGGGGUAGUUUUGGUAUUUGAAAAAGUCAAUGAUGGUGGCGGCAUUCAUUCAACCAUGGCUGUCACCCCUUUUGUGAAAUCAAUUUCAUAUUUAAUAAUAUUCAAUAAAAGUGAUUAAAAAAAAUGCAAAAAAUAAUAACAAGCAGUCUUAGGUUUUUUUUUUUUUUUUUUUUUUUUUUUUUUAAUAUUGUAAAAUUUUAUUUUUAUUAUAAAGAAAAUUAAUUAAAUAUUUUUUUUGGGUUUUCUUAUUUGUGAAAAAAUAUUUUGGUUUAUUAGGUUUUUGGCAUAAAUGAAAUGAAAACAAAUUCCUGAUUUUGUUUUUGUGUAGGUGUGUUUGAAAUAUUCCUGAUAGCAUUUUCCUUAACCAAACAGGGACAGAUCCUUGGGGGUUGAAGACGGUUGUGCCCUCAGCGUUAAAGAAAAACUGGGAUUUUCUUUUUGUGAGGGAAAAAGGCCAGAGAUAAAGGAGAAGGCUAAUCAUACAAAGAGGGAGAGGGAGAGAAGAGGUUGGCUGGUCGGCUGGUUGGGCAAUGGCAAUCUCAUUGAAUCGCCACAUUCCCCCAUAAAAAUCUGGGAUCACAAUCGGAUCUCAUCGUAGUACUCUCUCCUUUUCAUGGGUUUUCACCACAACGCUUCUGAUGGAGUCUCUCAGCGAGUCAAUAGCCCACGCUUCUCAGGUCCAAUGACUCGCCGAGCUCAUUCGUUUAAACGCGGCAACAGCAGCGGGAACGCUCAUAACAACGGUAGCAGCAAGGGGGGUGGUGGGUUCGAUCCCCACUACGAGAUUGAUGUGCAUCUCAACUCACCUAGAUCGGAAAUAUGUGGUAGCCCUGUUUCCGGUGAUGGGUUUGAUGUAGUUUUGGAAAGGAAGCAGACCCAUCAUGUGAACCAGAGAGUUCAUGGGGGUGUUCUGAAGAAUCAGCCCAAGAAGCAUGUUGGAUCUGCUGUUCUUGAUUUGGGGUUGAGGGAGAGGAAGAAGUUGGGGCAUUGGAUGUUCUUUGUGUUUUGUGGGGUGUGCUUGUUUUUGGGUGUUCUGAAGAUUUGUGCCACUGGGUGGUUUGGAUCUGCCAUUGAUAGGAUUGGGUCUCAUCAGGUUGGUUACAUGUUCUUCUCUAUACUUUACUUCAUUGUUUUAUCAUCACUUUUUCUAUAUCCAAAUCAAAAUGUGUUGUACUGGCAGGACAACUUGUGAGAGAAAAAGGUGAUUUCUGACUUGAAUGUUUAUUUUGGAUUCCGAAUGCUGAAUUUAUAUACGUAUCCAUGUGGAAAUUUCAGUUUAGGAGUUAAGCUUCUUUGGGCUGUUCUUUUGUAUCUUUUUUGAGUAACCAGAGAAGGCCUUUAUCAAGGUUAUCUUAAUCCACUAGAGGGAUUCUUUUUCCAUUCAGAAAGAAGAGAAAAGCGUGCCAUUUUGUGGGUACUUUUGAAAAUGAUAGGUUGUUUGGCUUUCUGUUUAUGUGUGGGAAGCAAAUUAGAACUUUGUAUUGAAAAUGGAUGGAUGCUUGCUUAGAAUUCUAUGUACUUUAAUAAAGAAUGAAUCUCUGUUGCAAUUGGGGCAAGAUGAGGGAAAGUGGCCUAAUGUAUUUUGGUCAUGUGUGACAAUGACCUAUACCUAUCAUUUUACCUGUAUGGAAUGAUGAUUCUGUUAGAGUUGAGGACAUGUAGAAAGGUCAAAAAAGCAUAGAUAGUGGUGGUGAGGAACAAAUGAUGACCAAGGAUCCAAUGGAGAAUAUUAUUCCAAUAGAGGAAGAGGAUUCAGGAAGCCAACCUCAAGUUCUAGGGACCAAGGCUUGUUGAAUUGAUCUCAAUAGUUGCUCCGCAGUGGGAAACAUGGGCAGCAUGGGCUCCUAGGGUCUUUGGCAGUAUUCAUAUGGUGAUGUGCUGGAAUACGAGUGUGAAUUUGCUUUACACUAUAAGCUUUUAGAAGUUGGAAAUUGCAUUUAGUGUUCCUCUUCAGCUAAUAAGCUUAAAGAUGGUUCAAGUGUGGACUUGAUCAAAUAAAUAGAGAUUAAAAAAAAAAAAUCUGUCCUAAAAGUCUAGAAAUAGGCAGUUGUUUGCUCAAUGUUAGAUCUGUUUUCAGUGGACUAGGAAAGUUUAGUUACUUGUGGUUUGGGAAAGUGAAUAUCUCCUGCUGGAGAUGAGCAACUGGCAUGUUUGAGACCACGUACAAAUAUAUAUAUAUAUAUAUUUUGAAAUUUGGGUGAAUGUUUUAUAGUUAACAUCUAACCUUAUGAUGCAUAUUGAUCUAUAACUUAAGGUGCUCUUUGCAGUUGUUGUCCAUCAGCAGUUCUUGACAAUUAAAUCUUUUAUCUGUGUGCAUGUGUUUCCUUAUGUGUUAUUCUUCUCACCUUUAUCUUCUGUCUUACUAAGCUAUUCUGCAUUUCUAAUUAGGAUUUUUCUGACCCCCUCAACACUCAUCUAAAUGAAAUGGAUAAAAGCUCUCAUGAUUACGUAUAUAGGGAGGGAGGAAGUGAUGUUGAAAGAACUCUGAUGAUGGUAGCAUCAGGUGUGGUGAAUAGGCAGAAAAGCAUGGCUGAAGUAAGUAUCGGAUUCAUAUUGCAAAAACACAUUGACUAAUUUUGGGUCUCAUAAUGAUAUGUUUUUAAUUUGUCACUCAUGAAAUUUACUUCUUCAGAAUUCAGAUAUCUGGUCCAAACCCAACAGUGAGAAUUUCACCCAAUGCGUUAACCAGCCAAGAAUUCACAAAAGUAAGAAACCCAUUCAACCAAACAAUCUCUCUCUCUCUCUCUCUCUCUAACUGUAGACCAACCCUUUUCUUUUGCUUCUGUUGACAGAGCUGGAUGCGAAGACAAAUGGUUACAUUAUCAUUAAUGCUAAUGGUGGAUUGAAUCAGAUGAGAUUUGGGGUCUGUCUAUUGUGUGUUUUGAUAAUUUUACUUGGAUAUUGUUUAAGUAUUAAUACCAACUAUAGUCUGAUUAAUGAAUAAUUUUAGAGUGCAGAUAUGUGAUAUGGUUGCCAUUGCAAAGGUCAUGAAGGCAACACUGGUUCUUCCUUCACUUGAUCACACAUCCUAUUGGGCUGAUGACAGGUUUUUUUCUGCACUCUUGGAAUUGGCUUACCAAUAUUGUCUAAGAAAAUUACUUCUUUUGUUCCCAGACAUGAGACAACAAUAGGCCAUUAUGAUGAGUGGUAGAUCUGAUGUUUAGUUGAGAAUUAUAUAAUUUAUGGUAGAGAUAGACUCUCAGAGGAUUCACUUGGUGAAGGAAAAAUAUACAACCGACAAGCUUUCCAAAAGCAUAAGCUGACUUUCCAGGAAACCAAAUUCACUAAUCUGCUUCCAAAUUUAUUUUAUUUUUUAAAUCAUAAAUACCAUGUUGGAUCUCCAAUCACAUUUUCUUUGGGACAAAAUUUUAGUUCUUCUAAAUGUGAUGUACUGGAUAACAUCCCUACUGAUGCUGGUAAUAACACCAUUCCCCAGAGGAAUCCUUUUGGACUUUGUAUACCAUACUCAUUCCUUCAACAGAAGAUGCCUUCCCUUUCGCAAUGAUUUAGUCCGAAUGAAUUGAUUCCUUUUUGCAUUUUUUUUUUAUUAUUUUUUUUCCAGUGACUUUAAGGAUCUGUUUGAUUGGCAACACUUCAUAAAGGCACUGAAAGAUGAUGUCCACAUAGUUGAGACAUUACCACCUGAUUAUGCUGGAAUUGAACCUUUCACAAAGACACCAAUAUCAUGGUCUAAGGUAAUGACCAACUCAUCAAUCUUUCAAAAUAUGAUGAUAUUUUGAUUCUCCUUUGUGUACAGUUAUUUUUAUGGAUACGAGCAACUUAACCAAUUUGUAAAGGGCUGAAUCUAAAUUCUCAUCCGCGAAGAUUCCACUCAUUCAGCAGUUUAUUUUUAAUUAGGAUGUUUGAUUUAUUGAAACUUUGGAUACACGUUCAUGUACAUUCUGUGUAUGAGUGGCUGCAUUUCAUUGUAAUUCCAACACCGUAUGCUAUAUCUCUCAUCUCAUUGUUAUUUUUUCUAAGAUUCAAACCCAUUGAUUGAUUUCUAUUCUUUUGCUCAGGUCAGUUACUACAAAACAGAGAUCCUCCCACUCUUGAAGCAGUACAAGGUUAUAUAUUUUACUCAUACUGAUUCCAGACUUGCCAACAAUGGUAUUCCAAGUUCCAUACAGAAACUGAGAUGUCGUGUAAAUUACAAAGCCUUGAAAUAUUCAUCCCUAAUAGAAGAACUUGGAAACACCUUGGUUUCAAGAAUGCGAGAGGGUGGAAACCCUUAUAUUGCUCUGCAUUUGAGGCAAGUGACAUACGUCUUACACAACUUUACUCAUGUAGUUUUAUCGAUUUGAUCCUUUUAUCUUAGCUAAAAAUUGUUGAUUCAAGAGUUCUUUUAAUCAAAGUUAGCGAUUAAUUCAUGACAGGCUGAUAAACAUGACUGCCUUAUAUUUUCUGCAGAUGACAUUUUAAAUCGAUGUCUGCUCAUUGAAAAACCAAUGGCGGUUGAUGUGGACUCACUUGCAGCCCUGACGACUUUCAAAAAAACCAAUAUUGAUAUUGCGAAAGUUUAAUUAAACAUGAAAUAGCUUUUUGCAUAAGCUAAAAUAGAGUUUCUAUAAUAAGUAAUAUUUUCCUAGCUUCCUUGCUAAGUUUUUUCUAAACCCAUACUCUUUUAAUAAAUUAGCCUAAUAGAUGUAAAAACUUUUAUUGAGUGUAAAAAGAAGCUUUUUUUUACUCCUCAAAACCAAUCCAGGCAAGGCCUUUCAUAAUCCAUUUCCCCAGCUAAAUGGAGUAUUUAUAUUUGAAAUUAAUGUGCUAUAUUUGAAUUUGUGUCAUCCUCUCAGUGUGCUGUUUCAGAUAUAUGAAAAAGGGAUAUUGUGGAUCAUUUUUCCCACCAUGAGCUUUAGAAUUUUAAAGACUGCCCAAUUUUUAACUUCCAUGAUUUCUGAAGAAAUGGUGCUCUUUCAAAAUUGGUGCUUAGCUCCAUUACCUAUGAUUGUUGCUCUUUAUUCAUAACGUAUUCAAUAUAAUCCAAUCUCUACGCCUAUCAAUUGUACAAGCCCUUCACUUUAGAAUGUGUAAAUAUGUACUGACCUCAUUAUUUUUACUCUCUCAAUAGGUAUGAGAAGGAUAUGCUUUCAUUCACAGGCUGCAGUCAUAAUUUGACAGCAGCAGAAGAUGAGGAACUACGUACAAUGCGAUAUGAGGUCAGUCAUUGGAAAGAGAAAGAGAUCAAUGGUACCGAGAGAAGGUUGCUUGGUGGCUGUCCCUUGACCCCCAGGGAGACUUCCCUUUUGCUCAAAGGGCUGGGUUUCCCAUCUAGCACCAGGAUUUAUUUGGUAGCUGGUGAGGCCUAUGGUAAAGGAAGUAUGCAAUAUCUAAUGAAUGACUUCCCCAACAUCUUCUCCCAUUCAACACUUUCCACUGAAGAAGAGUUGAGCCCUUUCAAGGAUCAUCAGAACAGACUGGCUGGACUGGACUAUGUUGUUGCCCUUCAAAGCGACGUGUUUGUCUAUACCUAUGAUGGAAAUAUGGCAAAGGCUGUUCAAGGUCACAGGCGAUUUGAGAACUUCAAGAAGACUAUUAGCCCUGAAAAGUACUAAUAUCUUAACCCAUCUCUUCUAAACUACAUUAAACAUGCCCAGUUCAAUGGUUAUGGUUUUUUCACUCUAUCCAUUUGCAGUGCAUGAUCAUUCUUAUUUUGUUAAUGCAGGAUGAAUUUUGUAAAACUUGUUGAUGACCUUGAUGAAGGAAAAAUCACUUGGAAGAAAUUCAGUUCCAAAGUGAAGAAGCUUCACAAAGACCGAGCUGGAGCACCAUACCUACGAGAGCCUGGAGAGUUUCCAAAGCUGGAGGAAAGUUUCUAUGCGAACCCACUUCCAGGAUGUAUAUGCGAAACAACACCGCAAAAGUAGAGACCAACCCUAGAAAGUUUUGUGCUACUUCAUCCCAAUGUGAGGGUUUAGCUGCAUGGAUGGUAGUUCCUAGGGUUUGUUGCCAUCUCUCAGGGCACAUUCUUGUUGAGUGGCAAUCUUGAGGUGCAGUGAGGCAGGAGAACAUCAGGUUGUUGGUUUCAAAGUCCCCAAGAGGAGUGAAACUGAUACAAUGGAGUUGCCAAAAAUGCAGCUUAACUUAAGGGUUGAUGGAAGAUAGAUGGGGUUUGAUCUGCUAUAUAGAAAGGAUACAACAGAAGUUAAAGAAACAUACCACUGAGUUUCUUCACUAUGAAAAACAGGAAAAAGAUACUGAGUUUUCUCCCUACUUAACUACACUGUAAAGAGCCAGCAAUGUAGAAUAUGAUGGGGAAGGUUCAUGUUUUGCAAUUAGGCAGAGUUGAGCUACUAGCUGAUUUGAAUUUCUUCUGAUAAUAUAGAGGAGUAUGAUUCCAAAGAAUAACAAGCUGCUUGAAAUUGCUUUAAUCAUGAAUAGAUGUCAUCGGGACAUGGUUAAUCUGUUUCCAUUUUCUAGAAAGUUGAAUUUGAAAAAGACAAAAUGUGAAAUUAAUUCCACAAAUGUGGUAUUUUCAAAACAUUUGAGAAUAGUAAAAUAAAAAAUAUCUUUUAUGAAGUUGAAAAUAACCAAGUGAAUAACAUUUAGUAUGAUAUCCCACAUGAUAAGGGAAAAAGUUUGUGGAUGUGGAUGUAUAUAUGUUCAAGUUUUUUUUUAACUAUAUAGAUAUGUUUUAACUUUUAAAGUCUUGAGGUCCUGAGGUUUUAAGUAGAUAAUAAUCACACAGUUGAAAGUUAGUUAUUACAAAUGGUAUCAAUCUUUCAUCUAUGGUGAGUAAUAACUACAUGGUUGAGAAUCGAUUAUUAUAAAUGGAAUGUGGAAGUUUGUUUGGCCAUGCAAUUUUAUAGGACAUGAUGAGUGUGGGGAGUGGGGUGAUUGUAAUAUUCAUUAUCAUAUCUAUAUGGGAAGUAAUUGUGAUAUUCCACAUCGAAUAAGGGAAAAAGUUUUUGAAGUUAUAGAUAUGUGAACUUCUCUUUAGAUUUUAAAAUAGUGAUACUUCUCUAUGUAAAUUUUAAAAUAGUGAGGAUCUUUGAGGGCAAAGUGAAUAAUAUUUUCAUAUUUGGGAACGAAUCGUGAUAUCUAGUAUUUUAAAAAACUAUUAAGGUUCAUCUCAAAGGGAAUUAUAACCUGGUAAUCAAAACUUAAGCAUCACCUUGUUAAGGCUUAUAACCUUAAAUCUACGGCUUGAGUUUUGGGUCAUUCAAGUCUCAUAUAUUUAAACAAAUUUAAUAGGUUUUGUACUUUUAUGGAGUUUUGAUGUAGAUUUUAUAAGUUUUGUCUUGCGUUUAAAAGCAAAAUUAAUCUUUAUAAAAUAAGAGAUGAUAACUCAAAAUAAACCUUAAAAUGAAGGGGGAAAAGGGAUUUGAGAAAAAUAAAUACAUUUAUUUUUUUAUUUUUAAAUAUAAAAAAUAGUGAUAACUUAUAUACAAAAAGUAAAACCACUUACACAAAAAAAUAUAAACUUACUUUAUGUUCCUAAAAAAUACUUUCAAAAGCUUUAAAAUUUGAGACAGUAAACUUUUAAAAAUUCUUGCUUUUCAUAUACACAUUACUAUCAUUUUUUGUUUCUAAAAAACAAAAACAAAAAUUAGAAAUUUAUCUUUACAUAUAGUAAGUUUUCUUUGUAGUUAAAUUGGUGAAUAAUCUCUAUUUUAUUAAUAUAAAUAAAAGAAAAAUACCAUUAUGAAUGAAAAAGAAAACUGAGUGGAAAUUAAUAAUAGAACAAUUAAAUAUGAUUAUAUGAUUAAUUGGAUACUAUAUUGAUUCAUUGAAGGAUGUUACUAAGGAUUUGAAUGCUAUGUUGAAAAUUAUUUAAAGAAAGUAAAUUAAAAAUUAUUUAAAAUAAUAAAUAAUUAAUUUUAUGAUUUUUUUUUUCUAUUAGCAUUUUCCUGAUAUUUUAGUAAUUUUCCUUUCCGUUUAUUUAUUUAUUUGUUUUGUCGAAAUUAAGGAUUAUGUCUCCUUGUAUUCGAAUAAAACUCCUCAAAAGUGGAAACAACCUUCAAUCUUAGAGUAAGAACAUUGACAACAUCAAAUCACAAUUCAAGGAGUCUUUAUUUUUACAACUAUUUUUAAAAAAUAAAUAAAAAAUAUUCCAAAUCAAUCACAUCCUAAAUGCUUCAAUACUUUUCUAUCCAACUGUUUAAAAGGAAAUUCGGAUUUUCUUCUCUUACAGUCCUUACUCUCCCUUGUUUGGUUAUCAAAAGAAUAUGUGAAAAAAUUGAUCGCCCAGAAACAAAACAGUUUUCAAAUAUAAGUCAUAUUUUCAUAGGAUUUCUUAAAAUUAAUUCUCAAUUAUUUUUUAGAAUAAGAUUUUGUAAAUGAACCAUCUAUUUAUAUAUAAUAUAAAAGUUUUUAAUUUUUUUUCAAUUAUUUCUCAAAAAAUUAAUAAAAAAUAUAAAAAAACACUUUAAAUUUAUUCUAAAAAAUAUUGUCUUAUACUUGUUCUUAAAAACUAUUUUAAAGUAAGGAUAUUUGAUAAGUUUUUUUAAAAAAUAAUUUUUUCAUUUUGAACUUUUAAAAACAAUUUAUAUAAAAUUAAUCACAUUUAAUUCAAGUUUUAUAAAAAAUGAAAAUAGUUUUAUAAUUAUAAACAAAUUAAAAAAUAAGUAGUUUUUAGCAAAAUAUGAAUAAUAAUAUUGAAAUAAAAUUCAUAAAAAUACUUACAAUUUAUGGGAAGAUUGUAUUUGAAUAUUUUUGUUGUCAAUAUUGAAUCAUAGAUAAAAAAAAAGUUAUAUGUUUAAUUUUAUUUAUAUUUUAUGGCUUAUUAAAAUUUCUCUGAGUUUUCUUUUUAUUUUUAAAAAUUAAAGAAAAUAACUUCUACUUUGGUUUUAAUUUCAAGUUAAAAAACAUGUUUUACUUUCAAGGAUAAAAAAAAGUAAAAAAUACUUUAUCCUUCUUUCAAAACAUAACACUUUGUACCUAAAUUUGUUGAAAGAACACCAUAUUAUAGAAUUGACACCUUUGAAAUAAAAAAUUUCAAACAAUUUUUAAAUAUGACAAUAAGUAGGUUAUCAAAUAGGAAUGUGAAUAGUAGUUAUGGAAAUAUGGAGUAAUGUGGUAGCAAAGAAUCAUGAGACCAAAUUAAUAUUGGGGGACAAAUUCGUCUUUGUUUAUGACAGUAAAGCAAUAGAGGUUCAAAUAACAAAAAAAUUGUAUGAACAAACAGAUGCUCACAAAAAUGCGUCCAAAACAUACAAUUGGCAUGGCACUAUAGCUGUAGAAUAGACUCGAUGAGGUCAUAGAGAGGUGCAAGCUCCCCCUUGUCAAUCAGGCGAAAUUCCUGCAAUUACAUCACACCCAAUUACACACACAGCAAUGCCUUGCUUGCAAAUCAAAGGGAGACAAACAAAAAAUGAUGGAAGAAAAUGCAAAUUCAAAUGAAGAUUUACUAACAAGGGCAUACAAAAGUCACAACCAAAACGACUUGUUUAAGGAUUGGUUGGAAGGGAUUGAAGAAUGGGUUACAGAUAUAUUUCAAAGCCGGCAGUAGUUAAGAUUUUGUCUGAUAAGAGGAAAAAAAUGAUGUCUCUUAUGUAAGAACUUGAAGAGUAAAUGGAUAUUAGGAACCCACCCAAGUAAACAGAACGAAAUGCUUAAAGCAGGUAUUGAGAUGAGCUUCUUCCUUUAAACUGACAAUCUUCUGAAAAUGCGAGUGAUAUAUGUGGGCAUAUACGCGAAACAAGCGCUUGAAAAUUGUCUUAACAACAUCCUGGAAAUUAUUUGGAAAUGGUGCCCCUGCAACACAAAAUAAUCAUUUAAAAAGCCUAUAUGCUUUGAUUUAAACCUGCUUCAGAAAGGAAUUUUACAUACCCAAUUUUUGAGGAAAUAUUGAUUCGUCGUCUAGCUGAGUUUCAAUCCAGUCCAUCAGAUAUUCGACAUACUUUGGAGCAGACACCUCAAUGGGUUUCUUAAUUGUGACUCCAUCAGCCCAUCUAUACUCGUAUCUGUGGUUGAGUAAUUUAAUCCAACUCAGGACUUACAACAUGAACACAUUAAAAGUAAUCACAAAUGAUUUUAGGUUUUCAAGAAUAAUUUUUCCACUUAUUCUUAGAAGGGCAGAAAAAUAAGCAUCCAAGCUCAUAGAAGUGAAGGAACAGAUGAUCCAACAAGAAAUGGAAUGGACCAAUAAGAAUUUUGUUUUUCAAAAGGAAAACAAAAUAAAAGUUGAAGAAAAAGAUAUUAAAGAUACUAGUCUGAAAAUGACAGAAAAUUUCUUAUUCAAAGCUCAAUUUUCUGCUUCCUAAAAAUUCACUUGACUAACCAACUUCUCUAAAAGAUGAUUUCCAUUUCAAGAUAGAAACUACUUCAUUCCUUGGCACUGUUUUUAUGAUCUGUAAUCCACAUAGAUCCAAACAUCUGUUUUUCCACCCAGUGAAUUCAGUUUGAUCUUCACCAACAGACACCUGCAUAUGUUAUAAGUUAGUACUCCUCACAUUAGAAUAUCCUUGUUCUACAUGUUCCUGCCCGUUUAGUUCUAUUUAUUGAUUCUUUCAGGCUCUACUGAACAAGGACAGCACACACCUAGUAAAAAUAUUUCGCAUAAAGGUUAAAUAUAAAGACCAAGCAUAAGGAUUAAGAAAGGUUAAAUAAUCCAAAUGAGAAUUAGUAUAAGGAUUAAGAAAGAUACUUUGGCCCUGCUGACAUUGUCGGGCAGAUGGAUGCUGUACAGAAUUCAGUAAGUGUACCAUACAGAAUGUUUACUUGGUUGAAGAAGUCCACCGCUGCAGCGAGAGAACAAAGCAAAACAAGUAAGAGGCACUGUUGCAAGAAUCCAUUUCGUAUUGGAUAUUAAAAUUUCUGGCAAGGAUUUCAACAUUCAACAAACUCGCCUUCCCCUCCCCACCUCCUCAUCUCUCACAGACACAAAUUUAUAGAAUUCGUCAAUAGGAUUCUCAACCAAAUUGUAGGAAGUAAAACAUUAUUGCAUCCUUCAGGUUCGUAGGUGAUAUUGUACUAAACUUUUCAUAAUCCUGGUCUUAAGAUUUGAUGUAAGGCAGUGCCAAGCUAGCAUGAUAGAUGACAGGAAUGCAAGUCAUUCUCCGUGGACAAUAAUAAGCAGGUAAACUUUAGAGCCUGCUAUGUGUCAUUCAUGUCUCAGCACAACAUCCUCUAUAAGUGAUUUCAUUUCAAGAUCAUGGGGAACAAAAAGUUCAAUGAAAUUUAUGAGGCCAAAGACUCUAAAUAGUGUCAAAUUAUCCAAAGUAAAUAUAAGAAGCUGGAAGAAAAUAAUAUUCUCAAUUAUAGUGCCAUCAUGAAUCUUAUGCUUUUCAAAAAACUGCAUCAAACAAGAAACUAGUACAGGCUUAUAUUAGCCGAUAGGCAUGGUCAUCAGCAAACUGAAAAAGAAAAGAAAUAAAUUUACAGUUGGCAAACAAGAAACAAACCAUAAUGGACUGAAUUACAAUGAUAAUACCCAAUAUGGGUUUAAUAGAUUAUAGUAGUUAGCAAAAUAUUAAAAGAAGAAUGAGAGAUAUCAAAUCAAUUCAUAACAAAUCUCACCAAUCCACAAGGCAAUAAAUAUAAAAUAUUCAGAUAUCAAAUACACCUAAAUAUCAAUCAACACCAAUGAUAUGGUGUAUGCUAGCACACCACAUCAUAGUGCAACUAUCCUAAAUUUCCUCACAAUUUGAUACUCCCUCUCAUAUGUUAUCGCCAUGAAUUUGCAACUGAACAAGAUUUAAAAUUCUUACUGUUUACAGCCAGCCACUCAUUAGGAUCUUCUCCUGGGGGAAGCCGUACUGCUUCCCUCAAGUUUCCACUACCCAAGGUGGCAUCAAUGUGUUUUUGAAGUUGUGCACCCUGCAUUUGGAUUAAAAAUAUUAGAGUAUCAACCAAAAAAGGGGACAUUAACAAAAUAAAAAUUAUAAAUAAACCAUACAACCACAAAGGACACCCACCUUGCUCCCUGAAGGAGCACUCUUUUUGGGCCGAAAUGUUUUCUGGUUUCUGCAUGAGUCAAAGCUCGAUUAAAAUUAGUAAUUUCAAAAACAACGAGAAACAAGUUCUUUAGAUUAAAAUCAUGAGGUGGUGUUAUACAUUAUCUAUAAUAUAUUUUAUAAAAUCAACAGUAAGCUGUGGCUAUUUUAGACCUAUGAAGACAAUGAUACCCAACCAUCAACUUCGUAAGAUUUAUUCUACAAUCACAUAAAAGGGGAAAUGCCACCUUUUGAUCUAAUUGUUAAAGAGAAUUCACUAAUGUCACACAAACAGACAGUAUAAUAAAGAGAAAUAUUUUAUUAUCUAUAUUCAUGCUAAAAGGAUAAACUAAUAAAUUGACAUCAGCAAUUAGACCUGAAGAUUCUAGCAAAACUUUAGCUUCACAAUCAGGCAGAAUAGAUGGAAAAAGGUGAAGCUCAAACAGAAUCCUCUUGAAGAACAUAUGUUCUAUGCAUAGCACACCAAUAUGAAUGAGGAAACCAGAAGCUAAAAACUACAAUUAGACCUCCAUGAGCCACAAGAAAAACCUCAAAUUUUUGGGAAUGAAUAAAUAAAUAAAUCUUCCCCACAGAGAAGAAGAAAACAAUUAUCAGAAAAAGUCAAGCAAAGAGAGGAAAGAAAAAGUCAUCCCAUGCCAAUAUGCACAAAAGUUUCUAAAGCACAUACACACCCCGCAAAGCAGGGCCAAAAAUGAAGAAAAUCUGUUUCUUCCAUAAACACACAAAAUCAAUAUUUAACUUGCAAAAUAUCCUAAUCCUCCUAUUAAAAACCAAUACCAAAUCUCUCAAUUUAACCCUAUGUUUCCACAAAACAACAUAUUCUUCCUCCUUCCUUAAUCAAUCAUUGUCAUCACCAACAAAAAAAUUGCUUCCAUUUCACAACAUAUUCCUCCAGAAUCCAAAAAAACACCUCUCGAAUCUCACACACAUAACACAAUGAGCAAAAAAACAUUAAAAAAACACGCAAAUCAUCAUGAAGAUUGAGAGAAAAAUAUGAAUCGCACAGCAUAACAACAACAAGAAUCAUAAAUUCUGACGCGAAAUUGACAAAAAAAAAAAUAUAAAAGAGACACGUAGAACAAUAAUAAAAAAAAAUCAUAAAAUAAAACAAAAACACGCGACAAUUACAAGAACAAAAAUAUAUUCUCUCGCCAAAAAAUUUAAAAAAAAAAAUGAUUAAAAAAACAGUGAAAAAAAAAAAUGAAAAUCACCAGAUCAAAAAACUGGAAGAAAAAUGGAUAUUGAAGCAAAAUUGAGAGAAGAUUAGAAGAUAAUCAGCGAUAAGGGAGGAGAAUACCUGCUGCCGAGGCCGAAGAGACUCAUGAUCUGGAAAACCUAGCUUGGUGUUGUUGGCGAAGAGGAGGAGAGCGAAAGGACAAUGAGAGGGGAGGGAGUAUUUAUAGAGGGAAGGAGGAGAGAGAAGGGAAAAUGACAGAGUGGCAAAAUGGUGUAUGUGUUGGAGGAGAGAGAGAGAAUGCCAAAGUCGUCGUCGUCUUCUUCCGCCAGCCAAGCUGGCUUUGUUCCCUCUCUCCCCCUGAUUCUUUCUUUCCCUCUUUUUCUUUAUUUGGAUUAUUUGUUCAUUUAUUAUUGCCUUUCCCUCCCGUGUAUCUCGCUCGCUCCCACGCUUUGGUGUUCCCGAUACGUGGCUAUCGUAAAGACACACUGAUCAAAAUCAAUUUCCAUUAAAUCUUAAAAUCUCCACCAUUCAAAUAACAUGAAAAAAUCUUGAUCGUUCAACGAAAGUAUAAAUAUACGGGACGGUGAUAGAAUUAAAUUAGACCAGAUAAAAAACAAUACGACCACAUAAGAUACAAAGUAAUACGAUCUGAAUUAUAUCAUAACAAUUUUUUUUGUUCGUUAUAUAUAUAUAUAUAUAUAUAAUGGAUUCUUUGAAAGAUGGGCUGCGACACGAGCCCAAAAUGGAUCGAGGGAGUUCCGGUUGGGGGCAAACAGAAUUUUGAACUUUGCCGCCAUCUGAAACCACGGAUAACAGAAAUCAAAUGUCUCUCCCUCUCUUUCCAUCGCGCGCUCUCUCUCUCUCUCUAAUCUCCAUUGAUGUUGAAGCCAAGCAUUUUCAAACCCUUGAAACCAGACUUUCACAGCAUCUCCUUCACUGCAAUCUUCCACAAAUGCAAAUCCAUGAAACAGUUCAAAGAAGCUCACACCCAACUCAUCAUCAAUGGCUUAACGCACCCACCGCCCUCUCUCCGGCCCAUCAUCUCCUUCUCAGCUCUCGACCCCUCCGGCGACAUCGACUACGCCCUCCUCCUCCUUCUACGAACCUCCACACCUCCCACCGUUUUCCUCUUCAACACUACAAUUCGUGGCUUCUCACGCGCCCGCAGGCCUGGAUCUUUGUUGAGCUCGGUGCUCUUGUUUGUUCGGAUGGGUGUGCUCAGUCUUGCUCCUAAUAACUUCACUUUUACCUUUUUGUUCCAGGGUUGCUCGAAUUGUGUAGCUUUUGACUUGGGUCGGCAGUUUCAUGGUAUGGUGAUUAAGAACUCCUUUGAAAUGGAUGUGUUUGUUCGCAAUUCGAUUAUUCGGUUUUACUCAGUCUGUGGGAGGCUGAAUGAUGCGAGGUGGGUGUUUGAUGAAAGUUCUGAACUAGAUGUUGUUUCGUGGAAUUCGAUGAUAGAUGGGUGUAUUAGAAAUGGGAAUAUUUUGGAGGCUCUUAGCUUGUUUAGCAAAAUGACUGAGAGAAAUGAUAUUUCUUGGAAUAGUCUGCUUGGUGGGUUGGUGAAGUUUAGUUGUAUGGAUGAUGCGUAUCGGUUUUUUGUGGAAAUGCCGCGGAGGAAUAUGGUAUCUUGGGUAGUGAUGAUUUCUGGGUAUGCUCAAAAUGGGCAGCCAAAGGAAGCUUUGGCAUUGUUUAGGGAGAUGCAAAUGUUGGAUCAGGAGCCAAACUCUGCGAUUCUGGUGAGUGUUCUUUCUGCAUGCUCUCAGUUAGGGGCUUUGGAUCAUGGGUGUUGGGUUCACUGUUACAUUGGAAAGAAAUGUGUAAGGGUUGAUUCUAUACUUUCUGCUGCCUUGAUUGACAUGUAUGCAAAAUGUGGCAGUAUUGAUCUGGCAAUGCAGGCCUUUAGUACAUCUAGGAAAAGGGAUGUUUCUGCUUAUACAGCAGCAAUUUCUGGUUUGGCAAUGAAUGGAUGCAGUGAGGAAGCGCUUCAGCUUUUUGAGCAAAUGAAAGGUGAGGGCAUCUCACCGGAUGGUGUCUCUUACAUUGCAGUUUUGUGUGCUUGUAGUCAUGCUGGCUGGGUUGAGAAGGGUUUUCACUACUUUGCUUCAAUGUCAGAUGUUCAUGGAAUUAGACCAGAGUUAGAUCACUAUGCUUGCAUGGUGGAUCUUCUUGGCCGGGCAGGUUUGUUGGAGGAGGCAGAAAAGUUUGUUGCUUCAAUGCCAAUUAAACCAGAUAAUGUCAUUUGGGGAGCCCUCCUUGGUGCAUGCAGGGUUUAUGGCAAUGCUGAAAUGGGUCAAAGGGUUGGAAGUCUACUGGUGGAAUCUGAUCAAAACCAUGAUGGCCGCUAUAUUCUACUUUCAAAUAUCUAUGCGGAGUCCAUGAAAGGUGAAGAUGCUGAACAGGUCAGGAAAACUAUGAGAAGAAGAAAAGUAGAUCGGGUUCCAGGGUGUAGCUUGAUUGAAGUAGCUGGUUUUGUUCAUGAAUUUUUUUCAGGGGACAGAUCCCAUGAGAAAACAGAAGAGAUCUACUUGAUGUGGGAAGAAAUUGUCAAAGAGAUUAAAAAAUUUGGAUAUAGGGAAGAGACAAGAGCAGUUGUGUUUGAUGUGGAAGAGGAAGAGAAGGAGGCUGUAAUUGGACACCAUAGUGAAAAACUGGCUGUAGCAUUUGGAUUUCUUUACACAAAGUCUGGAUCAACUUUGCGGAUUGUAAAGAAUAUUCGGAUAUGUAGUGACUGCCACUAUGCUAUUAAGCUUGUUUCAAAGGUUUUUAAAAGGAAGAUUGCCAUCAGAGAUCGGAAAUGUUUUCAUCACUUUGAAGAAGGCUUGUGUUCUUGCAAGGACUACUGGUAACCAAUCUAUGGAUUUCUGAAAUUCCUUUUAAAGAAAGUAAUAGGUUCAGCAUCAGGUUUUGGAGAGGAAAAUGAUCUUUAAAGAGGCAAUUGGGAAAUAGAGAUGAGUUACAAGAGGGACACUUUGCUCAUUCAACCAACAAAGCCUUAAUUCAAUUACUUGAGGCUUUCUACAUGAUCCCUUUCCAUUUAAUCUAUCCAGAGUUAUAUUGGAUUCUUAAUCAUAGGUCAUCACAUUGUCUCCUGCAGCUUGGAUUGUGCUCUCUGGGCUUCCUUUUUGUGUUGUAAGGCCUUGAGCCUGAACUAGCCAUUGUAUGCUCCCAAAUGAGUGGGCUUAAGAGGUUCUAUGGGAUUGGCAGGGGCAGGGGUCUCAUGCAGGGAAAGACUUAUUGUCUCCUUAAUUUUUUUUUAUCUUGCCAUCAAGUGCUUAUGAAGAAGACUACAAUUGGCUACUACUGAUGAGUGAUUAUAGGAUUCAGUGUUGUCCAAAAUGCAUAAAAACUUGUCCAGCUUGUUUAUGCUUUGCAGAUGAUCUUCUGCUGUUUUCCAUGAAAGAAGGUCUGCAGCAAUGCCCAAAGAGUUCCUUGAUGCUUUCCAUUUUAACAUCAGGACUCUGUGCCAAUGGAAGGAAAGCUCAGUCUUCUUUUGUGGACAAUGAAGAAUAAGGAGGAACCUAUUCUUAGUGUCUCGGGUUUCUCAAAAGUUUACUUCUUUCCUGAUGAGAUUCUUAGAAAUCUCUUUUAUGUCUACAAGGCUCUUAGAAACGGAUUUUCAACAUUCUAAUGAACAGAAGAUGAUGCUGAAUAUAUAAUUUUCUAUUCUUAUUGCAAAAGUUAAUAAGGUCUUCCCUACUUGACAUAUGUACCAACUUUAGGCAAGGUCUGCAAUGGUCUCAGAUGCAGUUGAUCAUUGUAUUGGAAGGUUCACUUUUUUUAGCUGCUAUUAUGUAUGAAUUGGGGAUAGAGGAACUACCCCUGAGCAAGUUAUCAUCCAGAGAAUUGUUAAGGAUGUGGUGUAAAAGUUUUCCCAGAAGAUCUGAUAGUGAGGAAAUGGCAUAUCAAUGGUAAAUUUUGUAUGAAAGUAGACCUCUUCUUUCAGUGUAUGAAUACUUGAUGAUGAUGGUUCUCUAAUAGGGGGCAAGAGUGGUUCUCAGGGUGUUUCCACAACCUCGAGAGAAACAUCAGUCUAUUCUUCUGCUCUGGCAGUGAUCCUGUAUCUGUCACCUAUCAUGAGCUAGAGGCUGGUAGGGUGGUUGCCAUGUGCUGAGGACAAGAAAUCCAAGUAAGGUUGUUGUCUCUACAGUUUCUAGUGGCAGCAAGGCUAUUUUUGACAAUCCUUCUGAAUCUCCUUGGGGUGGGGAAGCAACUUGUAAGAGCAUUAUGCCAUUUUUGGUGUUGGUUAGAGCUUUUCAGUUUUAUUCUUUGGCAAUUUUAUAAUACAAAUGUGGUUGCAAGUUUCUUUUCUGGUCAUUGCACUGGAAAAGCCCAGUUCAAAAAGCUUGCCAAGUUGCAUUUUCUUCAACAAGGACUAGAUAGGUCGGUGGCAUCAUAAAUGCUUAUAACACUGGUCUUGAUUUGGGUUUUUAUUUGGAUGGAUUUCCACCAGUGUGGCAGGCUUCAAGUCAUCGGAUCCAUAUGUCAUUUUUAUUUUGAAGAGGGCUUUUGAGGCAAGGUUCUUAUGUUGCCGGCUUGGCACUAGCUCUCCAGCUCUAUUUUCCAAAAAAGACAUGAUGAAGAAAUUUGGGUUUCCAAGCCCUUACCUUAGCACGCAAGCAGCAUAUUAACAUUUUUCUCCAAUCUACUACACCUUUGCUCUGCCAUCCUAAACUUGAGUAAAUUUCAUCCUUCUGUCUUCUUGUUUCUAUGUAAUUAUGGUUAAGCAAUCAAAGACAAUAUACUGCUUCGUUAUUGGUUUGUUCAAGUAAAUGAUGCUGAUAAACAAUGAUUAAUACUACAUUCUGAUUCUGUGUUGAGACUUGCUACCCUUCUCUUUAUUUGCAAUAUUCUGUUUGCUUGUUUGUUAGUUUUCUUUUAGUAUUGUCAUGACCUGGUCAUUGUUUAUAUGCAACUUUUUACAUUCACCAUAGGCUAACUUGUCUGAGAAGUUUGUAGCUUUGCCAUUCAGUCCUCGAUAUGCACACCCUACAAAGAUAAUUCAUGUCUCACUAAAUGGUAGUUCUAUUUGGUUCCUACCGUUUCAGAGACAAUUUGGCAAGUCAGAUGAUAUCCUUAGGCAACUUGACAGUGAUUAUGUUAAUGAAAUUAGAAUCUUGAUUAUCGUUAUUGCAUUAAUGUUAAUGUGGUGAAGGUGAUGGUAGCAUAUCUCAAAGAAACAACAGACAAUGAAAUUUGGACCGUAUACACCAAGGAAAAGAUAAGGGUAUCAUGUUCCAUGGUUCUAAUUUGAUGGGACUCAGAAAAGAGAAUUGCAUUUGUCUUUGAAAAAAUGCUGUUUAUUACCAGCUGGAAUGCAUGCAACAAUCAUUAGGUUCACAUACUUGACAUAGAAACCAGUACAGAAAGGAAACACUAAACUGACUCAAAGAAUCCUAUGAGUAGAGACCAGCUCAACCACAGGAAAGAAACUAGGAAGGAGAAACAACAGAUGAGUGAUGAUGGAAGAAAUGAGGCAGCGGUGGUCUCCAGUGACCUUAAUUAGUACCACCAAGAACAGCCUUAAGCUUCUUCACCACAGCUGCGUCAAGGAAAGUGGUCUGCACCACCAGUUCAGUUGGCAAAUCGUUUGCAAACAGAGCGUAAUCAAGGAUCUGGAGACCAGGCUGUGGGCUGCUGAAGCUAACAAAGGCGGUGGAUGGUAUCCCAGCCCCAUUCACUUGAAAAUGCAGUAGUCCUUGAGGAAAAAUCAUAAUGUCACCCUUCUUAAGAGUUUUGAAGUAGACGGUAUUGGCUGAGGAAAUGAACCCAGCACAGAUUGCCCCCUGCGUAACAAGCAGGACUUCUGAACCUCCAGGGUGUGUGUGCAUUGGCACAACCCCUCCUACAGCCAGGUCCAGGCGUGCUAUGGACAAGCCAAGACCGUUCAAGCCAGGAAACUGAGGAGCAAAAGCCGGAGUCACAGCAGCUUUGAUAAGAUUUGAGGUGUUCCCUGCCAUGCCUAGGCCGGAGAAAACAAAAUCAUCAACAGUAACCUUUGCAGGCUUCUUGCAAGAGUAGCCUGCAGGCCCCUCUGGGGCUGCAAGGUCCCCGACGCAGAAGUCCUGCACUGCAGCAUGAGAUGAUAAGAUAAGGGAAAAGAUGCAGAGAAUUGGGAGAAACAUCUUCACCAAAUAUAAAGAAGAAUGUUUUGCCUUAGCCCUUCUUUGCCAUCCUGAUCAGGCUUGGCACCCUUAUAUAUAGAAUCAGGAAUGCGGAAUAUUUUUUUCAGCAUCUUCAAUUGAUUGCUAGAGAUAUACCGGCAAAAAAGUUCACAUGCAGUGUACCCUAAAAUGAAAGCUUGAAAAAUGACAGAUUCUGAGCUGUGAUGCAUGUGAUUCUGCAAUCUUUUCUUUCAGAAAAAACCAAGAAACCUCUUUUUUGGCUCAUGAGUGACGGCAAGGAGUGAAAACAUCUUUGGCCUUUCCAAUUUCCAUCACGUCAAGCCAGUGAGGCAGUAAGAAAACUUCAAUAUUUCAACACACAGUCAAUCCGUAAGCUUGAAAUUUUCAGCAAACCCCUCAUUUACGAUCUUUCACCACCACCCAAAUCACAUCUUCUGAUAUCUGAUCUGGUCUUAUCCCAACAAUACAAACAAGAUAGGGAGAUGUGAGAAGGUGGUCCAUUAGUAUAACAAAACAUUUUUCUACAGCUAGAAGGCACUCCUGCAAGUCGUCCCACGACUCCCACCCCUUCAAACGGUAGCCAUUGCCCAAUGUGUGGUUCCUAGACAUUGCCCAUCUUGAAGGGCUUUUGUUGAUUGCCAGAGGAUAAGGGCAUCUUGUGGAUACCCCACUGCAAGAUGCUCAUAGAAUUGUCCGAAUUGUUCAAUCAUCUCACUUGCUUCUGCAUUUCAAAUUUCAACUUAUCCUUCCCGAGUAUUAGCCUAGCUUAUUCAAAUUACUCUUUUAGGCUUUAGUACCGGGGAAUAGGAAUGGAAAAGAG
rnacentral:lncRNA from 1 species